GAGGGAUAUUGGGCAAUGGGGGAAACCCUGACCCAGCAACGCCGCGUGAGGGAUGACGGUUUUCGGAUUGUAAACCUCUGUCCUCUGUGAAGAUAGUGACGGUAGCAGAGGAGGAAGCUCCGGCUAACUACGUGCCAGCAGCCGCGGUAAUACGUAGGGAGCAAGCGUUGUCCGGAUUUACUGGGUGUAAAGGGUGCGUAGGCGGAUUGGCAAGUCAGAAGUGAAAUCCAUGGGCUUAACCCAUGAACUGCUUUUGAAACUGUUAGUCUUGAGUGAAGUAGAGGUAGGCGGAAUUCCCGGUGUAGCGGUGAAAUGCGUAGAGAUCGGGAGGAACACCAGUGGCGAAGGCGGCCUACUGGGCUUUAACUGACGCUGAGGCACGAAAGUGUGGGUAGCAAACAGGAUUAGAUACCCUGGUAGUCCACACUGUAAACGAUGAUUACUAGGUGUGGGGGGUCUAACCCCCUCCGUGCCGGAGUUAACACAAUAAGUAAUCCACCUGGGGAGUACGACCGCAAGGUUGAAACUCAAAGGAAUUGACGGGGGCCCGCACAAGCAGUGGAGUAUGUGGUUUAAUUCGACGCAACGCGAAGAACCUUACCAAGUCUUGACAUCCCUUGACGAACAUAGAAAUAUGUUUUCUCUUCGGAGCAAGGAGACAGGUGGUGCAUGGUUGUCGUCAGCUCGUGUCGUGAGAUGUUGGGUUAAGUCCCGCAACGAGCGCAACCCUUAUGGUCAGUUACUACGCAAGAGGACUCUGGCCAGACUGCCGUUGACAAAACGGAGGAAGGUGGGGAUGACGUCAAAUCAUCAUGCCCUUUAUGACUUGGGCUACACACGUACUACAAUGGCGUUAAACAAAGAGAAGCAAGACCGCGAGGUGGAGCAAAACUCAGAAACAACGUCCCAGUUCGGACUGCAGGCUGCAACUCGCCUGCACGAAGUCGGAAUUGCUAGUAAUCGUGGAUCAGCAUGCCACGGUGAAUACGUUCCCG
rnacentral:rRNA from 1 species